UACGGAGGGUGCAAACGUUGCUCGGAAUCAUUGGGCGUAAAGCGCACGUAGGCGGCUCGUUAAGUCGGAUGUGAAAGCCCCGGGCUCAACCCGGGAAGUGCAUUCGAAACUGGCGAGCUUGAGUAUGGAAGAGGGUCGCGGAAUUCCCGGUGUAGAGGUGAAAUUCGUAGAUAUCGGGAGGAACACCAGUGGCGAAGGCGGCGACCUGGGCCAAUACUGACGCUGAGGUGCGAAAGCGUGGGGAGCAAACAGG
rnacentral:rRNA from 1 species